GAUACCGCCCUAGUUCUAACCAUAAACGAUGCCAACCAGCGAUCCGCCUGGGUUCCUCAAAUGACUCGGCGGGCAGCUUCCGGGAAACCAAAGUGUUUGGGUUCCGGGGGGAGUAUGGUUGCAAAGCUGAAACUUAAAGGAAUUGACGGAAGGGCACCACCAGGAGUGGAGCCUGCGGCUUAAUUUGACUCAACACGGGAAAACUUACCCGGCCCGGACACUGGAAGGAUUGACAGAUUAAGAGCUCUUUCUUGAUUCAGUGGGUGGUGGUGCAUGGCCGUUCUUAGUUGGUGGAGCGAUUUGUCUGGUUAAUUCCGUUAACGAGCGAGACUCUAGCCUACUAAAUAGGCGUUCCGAUCCCUUGCGUCGGACGCUCUUCUUAGAGGGACAGGCGGCGUCUAGCCGCACGAGACAGAGCAAUAACAGGUCUGUGAUGCCCUUAGAUGUCCGGGGCCGCACGCGCGCUACACUGAAGGAAUCAGCGUGUGCUCUCCCUGUCCGCUAGGACUGGGUAACCCGUUGAACCUCCUUCGUGAUAGGGAUAGGGGCUUGUAAUUGUUCCCCUUGAACGAGGAAUUCCCAGUAAGCGCGAGUCAUAAGCUCGUGUUGAUUAUGUCCCUGCCCUUUGUACACACCGCCCGUCGCUACCUCCGAU
rnacentral:rRNA from 5 species